AACGCCUUCAACCGCCCGCCGCGAUAGAGUGCCCACGACUGCCUCGGGAAUCCCGCUCUGCACCGCCCCACCAGACCUGGACUCGGAGCCGCGAGCGGCCUGAGAUGAGCAGCAAUGACUCCUCCCUUAUGGCUGAGAUCAUUUACUAUAGCCAGGAAAAGUACUUCCACCAUGUGCAGCAGGCUGCAGCUGUGGGCCUGGAAAAAUUCAGCAAUGACCCUGUGUUGAAGUUCUUUAAAGCCUAUGGAGUCCUCAAAGAAGAGCACAUCCAGGAUGCCAUCAGUGACCUGGAAAGCAUCAGGCAUCACCCAGACGUGUCCCUGUGCUCCACCAUGGCCCUCAUUUAUGCUCACAAAAGAUGUGAAAUCAUUGGUGAGUGCCACCAUGCUCAACCAGGCCUGGCCCACCAGGGGAAAGAAAGCCCUGCCCCAGAGAUACACAGCCCCUCAAGGGCUGCCAAAGGAGGUAUGUGCCCUGGUGGCUGUGCAGAUGCUGUUAACCAGUGAGAAGUGGCUGCUGCUCCUCUCCCCCUGGAGGCCUGGGCCCAAGUGAGUGGAAGCAGGCAGAGCCCAUGACAGUGGGAGGGGC
rnacentral:sRNA from 1 species